CCUACGGGUGGCAGCAGUGAGGAAUAUUGGUCAAUGGGCGGAAGCCUGAACCAGCCAAGUAGCGUGCAGGAUGACUGCCCUACGGGUUGUAAACUGCUUUUAUACAGGAAUAACGCGCCUUACGUGUACGUCUUUGCAUGUACCUUAUGAAUAAGGACCGGCUAAUUCCGUGCCAGCAGCCGCGGUAAUACGGAGGGUCCGGGCGUUAUCCGGAUUUAUUGGGUUUAAAGGGAGCGUAGGUGGCUUGUCAAGAUUGUUGUGAAAUGUUCGGGCUCAACCCGGGCCUUGCAGCGCGAACUGGCGGGCUGGAGUCCGCGGAAGGCAGGCGGAAUUCGUCGUGUAGCGGUGAAAUGCUUAGAUAUGACGAAGAACCCCGAUUGCGAAGGCAGCUUGCUGCAGCGGAACUGACGCUGAUGCUCGAAAGCGCGGGUAUCGAACAGGAUUAGAUACCCCAGUAGUC
rnacentral:rRNA from 1 species